rnacentral:rRNA from 1 species
ACGCUGGCGGCGUGCCUAAUACAUGCAAGUCGAGCGGACUUGCUGGAGCUUGCUCCAGCAGGUUAGCGGCGGACGGGUGAGUAACACGUGGGCAACCUGCCUGUAAGACUGGGAUAACUCCGGGAAACCGGAGCUAAUACCGGAUAGUAUCUUGAACCGCAUGGUUCAAGUUGGAAAGACGGUUUCGGCUGUCACUUACAGAUGGGCCCGCGGCGCAUUAGCUAGUUGGUGAGGUAAUGGCUCACCAAGGCAACGAUGCGUAGCCGACCUGAGAGGGUGAUCGGCCACACUGGGACUGAGACACGGCCCAGACUCCUACGGGAGGCAGCAGUAGGGAAUCUUCCGCAAUGGACGAAAGUCUGACGGAGCAACGCCGCGUGAGUGAUGAAGGUUUUCGGAUCGUAAAACUCUGUUGUUAGGGAAGAACAAGUGCGAGAGUAACUGCUCGCACCUUGACGGUACCUAACCAGAAAGCCACGGCUAACUACGUGCCAGCAGCCGCGGUAAUACGUAGGUGGCAAGCGUUGUCCGGAAUUAUUGGGCGUAAAGCGCGCGCAGGCGGUUUCUUAAGUCUGAUGUGAAAGCCCCCGGCUCAACCGGGGAGGGUCAUUGGAAACUGGGAAACUUGAGUGCAGAAGAGGAGAGUGGAAUUCCACGUGUAGCGGUGAAAUGCGUAGAGAUGUGGAGGAACACCAGUGGCGAAGGCGACUCUCUGGUCUGUAACUGACGCUGAGGCGCGAAAGCGUGGGGAGCGAACAGGAUUAGAUACCCUGGUAGUCCACGCCGUAAACGAUGAGUGCUAAGUGUUAGAGGGUUUCCGCCCUUUAGUGCUGCAGCUAACGCAUUAAGCACUCCGCCUGGGGAGUACGGUCGCAAGACUGAAACUCAAAGGAAUUGACGGGGGCCCGCACAAGCGGUGGAGCAUGUGGUUUAAUUCGAAGCAACGCGAAGAACCUUACCAGGUCUUGACAUCCUUUGCCACUUCUAGAGAUAGAAGGUUCCCCUUCGGGGGACAAAGUGACAGGUGGUGCAUGGUUGUCGUCAGCUCGUCUCGUGAGAUGUUGGGUUAAGUCCCGCAACGA